ACCCAACUGACGAGUCCCAAAUAGGACGAAACUCGAGUCCUGGAU
rnacentral:hammerhead_ribozyme from 1 species